rnacentral:rRNA from 1 species
GACGAACGCUGGCGGCGUGCUUAACACAUGCAAGUCGAACGGAAAGGCCCUUCUUUUGUGGGGUGCUCGAGUGGCGAUCUGGUGAGUAACACGUGAGUAACCUGCCCUUUACUUUGGGAUAACUUCAGGAAACUGGGGCUAAUACCGGAUAGGAGCUCCUGCUGCAUGGUGGGGGUUGGAAAGUUUGGGCGGUUGGGGAUGGACUCGCGGCUUAUCAGCUUGUUUGUGGGGUAGUGGCUUACCAAGGCUUUGACGGGUAGCCGGCCUGAGAGGGUGGCCGGACACAUUGGGACUGAGAUACGGCCCAGACUCCUACGGGAGGCAGCAGUAGAGAAUAUUGCACAAUGGGCGGAAGCCUGAUGCAGCAACGCCGCGUGCGGGAUGACGGCCUUAGGGUUGUAAACCGCUUUCGCCUGUGACGAAGCGUGAGUGACGGUAAUGGGUAAAGAAGCACCGGCUAACUACGUG